AUUGAACGCUGGCGGAAUGCUUUACACAUGCAAGUCGAACGGCAGCACGGACUUCGGUCUGGUGGCGAGUGGCGAACGGGUGAGUAAUGUAUCGGAACGUGCCCAGUCGUGGGGGAUAACGUAGCGAAAGUUACGCUAAUACCGCAUACGAUCUACGGAUGAAAGCGGGGGACCGUAAGGCCUCGCGCGAUUGGAGCGGCCGAUGUCAGAUUAGGUAGUUGGUGAGGUAAAGGCUCACCGAGCCGACGAUCUGUAGCUGGUCUGAGAGGACGACCAGCCACACUGGGACUGAGACACGGCCCAGACUCCUACGGGAGGCAGCAGUGGGGAAUUUUGGACAAUGGGCGCAAGCCUGAUCCAGCCAUUCCGCGUGCAGGACGAAGGCCUUCGGGUUGUAAACCGCUUUUGUACGGAACGAAAAGGCUCUGGUUAAUACCUGGGGCUCAUGACGGUACCGUAAGAAUAAGCACCGGCUAACUACGUGCCAGCCGCCGCCGUAA
rnacentral:rRNA from 1 species